rnacentral:pre_miRNA from 1 species
GAGACACCCCUCCGGGGCAAGACUUGCUUCAAUGGGGCUUUGGUGCUCACUGGGUCUGCCCCCCGAGUGUGUCCUU